GUUGUGUCAGUUUAUCAAACCC
rnacentral:miRNA from 2 species